rnacentral:rRNA from 1 species
UACGGGGGGAGCAAGCGUUGUUCGGAUUUACUGGGCGUAAAGGGCGCGUAGGCGGCCUGUUAAGUCUGAUGUGAAAUCCCCUCGCUCAACGAGGGAACUGCGUCGGAAACUGGCAGGCUCGAGUACCGGAGAGGAAGGUGGAAUUCCCGGUGUAGCGGUGAAAUGCGCAGAUAUCAGGAGGAACACCGGUGGCGAAGGCGGUCUCC